rnacentral:misc_RNA from 1 species
AACGCACGAGACCUGCGGACCUGCGGAGGGAUCAUUACCGAGUUUACAACUCCCAAACCCCUGUGAACUUAUACCUUUACUGUUGCUUCGGCGGGUCAUUGCCCCGGGGAAACAGGUGCCGCCAGGUCCCUGCCCCCCCGGAAACAGGCGCCCGCCGGGGGACUCAAACUCUUCUGUAUUUUUUGUUUACUGUAUACUGUCUGAGUAAAAAUUCAUAAUGAAUCAAAACUUUUAACAAUG